UGAUGGCGACCGGCGCACGGGUGAGUAACACGUAUCCAACCUGCCGAUAACUCGGGGAUAGCCUUUCGAAAGAAAGAUUAAUACCCGAUGGUAUAAUCAGACCGCAUGGUUUGAUUAUUAAAGAAUUUCGGUUAUCGAUGGGGAUGCGUUCCAUUAGGCAGUUGGUGAGGUAACGGCUCACCAAACCUUCGAUGGAUAGGGGUUCUGAGAGGAAGGUCCCCCACAUUGGAACUGAGACGCGGUCCAA
rnacentral:rRNA from 1 species